UACGUAGGGGGCUAGCGUUGUCCGGAAUCAUUGGGCGUAAAGCGCGUGUAGGCGGUCCGGUAAGUCCGCUGUGAAAGUCGAGGGCUCAACCCUCGAAUGCCGGUGGAUACUGUCGGGCUUGAGACCGGGAGAGGUGAGUGGAAUUCCCAGUGUAGCGGUGAAAUGCGUAGAUAUUGGGAGGAACACCAGUGGCGAAGGCGGCUCACUGGACCGGUACUGACGCUGAUGCGCGAAAGCGUGGGGAGCAAACGGG
rnacentral:rRNA from 1 species